UGGGGAAUAUUGGACAAUGGGCGAAAGCCUGAUCCAGCCAUGCCGCGUGUGUGAAGAAGGUCUUCGGUUUGUAAAGCACUUUAAGUGGGGAGGAAGGGCAGUAAGCGAAUACCUUGCUGUUUUGACGUUACCGACAGAAUAAGCACCGGCUACCUCUGUGCCAGCAGCCGCGGUAAUACAGAGGGUGCAAGCGUUAAUCGGAAUUACUGGGCGUAAAGCGCGCGUAGGUGGUUCGUUAAGUUGAAUGUGAAAGCCCCGGGCUCAACCUGGGAACUGCAUCCAAAACUGGCGAGCUAGAGUAGGGCAGAGGGUGGUGGAAUUUCCUGUGUAGCGGUGAAAUGCGUAGAUAUAGGAAGGAACACCAGUGGCGAAGGCGACCACCUGGGCUCAUACUGACACUGAGGUGCGAAAGCGUGGGGAGCAAACAGG
rnacentral:rRNA from 1 species